rnacentral:tRNA from 1 species
GGCUUAAUACUUUAAAUUAAAAGAUUUGAUUUGCAUUCAAAAAAUGGGUUUUUACACCUUUAGGCCA